rnacentral:rRNA from 1 species
AUGAACGCUAGCGACAGGCUUAACACAUGCAAGUCGAGGGGCAGCGGGGUGUAGCAAUACACCGCCGGCGACCGGCGCACGGGUGAGUAACGCGUAUGCAACUUACCUAUCAGAGGGGGAUAACCCGGCGAAAGUCGGACUAAUACCGCAUGAAGCAGGGGCCCCGCAUGGGGAUAUUUGCUAAAGAUUCAUCGCUGAUAGAUAGGCAUGCGUUCCAUUAGGCAGUUGGCGGGGUAACGGCCCACCAAACCGACGAUGGAUAGGGGUUCUGAGAGGAAGGUCCCCCACAUUGGUACUGAGACACGGACCAAACUCCUACGGGAGGCAGCAGUGAGGAAUAUUGGUCAAUGGGCGUAAGCCUGAACCAGCCAAGUCGCGUGAGGGAUGAAGGUUCUAUGGAUCGUAAACCUCUUUUAUAAGGGAAUAAAGUGCGGGACGUGUCCCGCUUUGUAUGUACCUUAUGAAUAAGGAUCGGCUAACUCCGUGCCAGCAGCCGCGGUAAUACGGAGGAUCCGAGCGUUAUCCGGAUUUAUUGGGUUUAAAGGGUGCGUAGGCGGCCUUUUAAGUCAGCGGUGAAAGUCUGUGGCUCAACCAUAGAAUUGCCGUUGAAACUGGGGGGCUUGAGUAUGUUUGAGGCAGGCGGAAUGCGUGGUGUAGCGGUGAAAUGCUUAGAUAUCACGCAGAACCCCGAUUGCGAAGGCAGCCUGCCAAGCCAUGACUGACGCUGAUGCACGAAAGCGUGGGGAUCAAACAGGAUUAGAUACCCUGGUAGUCCACGCAGUAAACGAUGAUCACUAGCUGUUUGCGAUACACUGUAAGCGGCACAGCGAAAGCGUUAAGUGAUCCACCUGGGGAGUACGCCGGCAACGGUGAAACUCAAAGGAAUUGACGGGGGCCCGCACAAGCGGAGGAACAUGUGGUUUAAUUCGAUGAUACGCGAGGAACCUUACCCGGGUUUGAACGCAUUCGGACCGAGGUGGAAACACCUUUUCUAGCAAUAGCCGUUUGCGAGGUGCUGCAUGGUUGUCGUCAGCUCGUGCCGUGAGGUGUCGGCUUAAGUGCCAUAACGAGCGCAACCCUUGCCACUAGUUACUAACAGGUAAAGCUGAGGACUCUGGUGGGACUGCCAGCGUAAGCUGCGAGGAAGGCGGGGAUGACGUCAAAUCAGCACGGCCCUUACAUCCGGGGCGACACACGUGUUACAAUGGCGUGGACAAAGGGAAGCCACCUGGCGACAGGGAGCGAAUCCCCAAACCACGUCUCAGUUCGGAUCGGAGUCUGCAACCCGACUCCGUGAAGCUGGAUUCGCUAGUAAUCGCGCAUCAGCCAUGGCGCGGUGAAUACGUUCCCGGGCCUUGUACACACCGCCCGUCAAGCCAUGGGAGCCGGGGGUACCUGAAGUCCGUAACCGCGAGGAUCGGCCUAGGGUAAAACUGGUGACUGGGGCU